rnacentral:rRNA from 1 species
GCUUGCUUUUUUGAGACCGGCGCACGGGUGAGUAACGCGUAUGCAACCUACCUUAUACAGGGGAAUAGCCCGAAGAAAUUCGGAUUAAUGCUCCAUGGUUUAUCGAUAUGGCAUCGUAUUGAUAAUAAAGAUUUAUCGGUAUAAGAUGGGCAUGCGUAUCAUUAGCUAGUUGGUGUGGUAACGGCAUACCAAGGCAACGAUGAUUAGGGGUCCUGAGAGGGAGAUCCCCCACACUGGUACUGAGACACGGACCAGACUCCUACGGGAGGCAGCAGUGAGGAAUAUUGGUCAAUGGAGGCAACUCUGAACCAGCCAUGCCGCGUGCAGGAUGACGGUCCUAUGGAUUGUAAACUGCUUUUGUACAGGAAGAAACCUCCCUACGAGUAGGGACUUGACGGUACUGUAAGAAUAAGGAUCGGCUAACUCCGUGCCAGCAGCCGCGGUAAUACGGAGGAUCCGAGCGUUAUCCGGAAUUAUUGGGUUUAAAGGGUUCGUAGGCGGCUUUGUAAGUCAGUGGUGAAAUUUCCUAGCUUAACUAGGACACUGCCAUUGAUACUGCAGAGCUUGAAUAGUAUGGAAGUAACUAGAAUAUGUAGUGUAGCGGUGAAAUGCUUAGAUAUUACAUGGAAUACCAAUUGCGAAGGCAGGUUACUACGUAUUUAUUGACGCUGAUGAACGAAAGCGUGGGGAGCGAACAGGAUUAGAUACCCUGGUAGUCCACGCCGUAAACGAUGGAUACUAGCUGUUCGGUUUUCGGACUGAGUGGCUAAGCGAAAGUGAUAAGUAUCCCACCUGGGGAGUACGUUCGCAAGAAUGAAACUCAAAGGAAUUGACGGGGGCCCGCACAAGCGGUGGAGCAUGUGGUUUAAUUCGAUGAUACGCGAGGAACCUUACCAGGGCUUAAAUGUAGAUUGACAGAUUUGGAAACAGAUUUUUCUUCGGACAAUUUACAAGGUGCUGCAUGGUUGUCGUCAGCUCGUGCCGUGAGGUGUCAGGUUAAGUCCUAUAACGAGCGCAACCCCUAUUGUUAGUUACCAGCGCGUAGUGGCGGGGACUCUAGCAAGACUGCCGGUGCAAACCGUGAGGAAGGUGGGGAUGACGUCAAAUCAUCACGGCCCUUACGUCCUGGGCUACACACGUGCUACAAUGGCAAGUACAGAAAGCAGCUACCUGGCAACAGGAUGCGAAUCUCCAAAGCUUGUCUCAGUUCGGAUUGGAGUCUGCAACUCGACUCUAUGAAGCUGGAAUCGCUAGUAAUCGGAUAUCAGCCAUGAUCCGGUGAAUACGUUCCCGGGCCUUGUACACACCGCCCGUCAAG